UUUUGACUCCAUUCAUCACUACUCCUUGUGGAUAAGAAGGUUCUAUUCUAAACAUUUCUUUUCCACUCAUACUCCUGAAACCUAGGAUGGCUUUUAUAUAAAUGUGUUAAGGUCAGUUUUAAAAGUUCUGUUUCUUCUUAUACUCACACAAUAUGAAACAGCCAAUCGUGGAGCAGGGCAGGUGGAAAUUCCCUGUUUAUUUGGCUCCAGGAGGCUUCUAGAGAGGUGCUGCCCUCCAUAUUUGAAGGACUCUAGUAGCAAGUCUCUACCAUGAAAAAGCCAUCCAGAAACAUCAACAGGAGGAAGAAGAGUCUCAGAACCUCCAGGUGGCUGCUGCUGCUAAUUUUCUAUUAUGCACGAGCACUGUGACAUGUGAUAGGUCUUGUACCUGAGCAAGUAGAUGCCAGAAGAGUUGGGGCUCAUUACAUGUCUAAUCAGUAAAGGGGAGCUCCCAGGGCUGGACUCAUAACUUGGCUGAGGAUUAUAGAUGCGAGGCCUGUUGAGUCCCCUACCAGAUGGCUGUGGCUGGGUUUUCAGCCUUCACUUAGAA
rnacentral:lncRNA from 1 species